rnacentral:rRNA from 1 species
UACGAAGGGGGCUAGCGUUGUUCGGAAUUACUGGGCGUAAAGGGCGCGUAGGCGGUCCUGAUCGUCGGAUGUGAAAGGCCUGGGCUCAACCUGGGAACUGCAUCCGAUACGGCGGGGCUGGAGUGUGGGAGAGGGUGGUGGAAUUCCCGGUGUAGUGGUGAAAUGCGUAGAGAUCGGGAGGAACACCCGUGGCGAAGGCGGCCACCUGGGCCGACCCUGACGCUGAGGCGCGAAGGCGUGGGGAGCGAACGGG